rnacentral:rRNA from 1 species
GGCGAGCGCUGGCGGCGUGCUUAACACAUGCAAGUCGAACGGAAAGGCCCUGCUUUUGUGGGGUGCUCGAGUGGCGAACGGGUGAGUAACACGUGAGUAACCUGCCCUUGACUUUGGGAUAACUUCAGGAAACUGGGGCUAAUACCGGAUAGGAGCUCCUGCUGCAUGGUGGGGGUUGGAAAGUUUCGGCGGUUGGGGAUGGACUCGCGGCUUAUCAGCUUGUUGGUGGGGUAGUGGCUUACCAAGGCUUUGACGGGUAGCCGGCCUGAGAGGGUGACCGGCCACAUUGGGACUGAGAUACGGCCCAGACUCCUACGGGAGGCAGCAGUGGGGAAUAUUGCACAAUGGGCGGAAGCCUGAUGCAGCAACGCCGCGUGCGGGAUGACGGCCUUCGGGUUGUAAACCGCUUUCGCCUGUGACGAAGCGUGAGUGACGGUAAUGGGUAAAGAAGCACCGGCUAACUACGUG